CCUACGAGAGGCAGCAGUGAGGAAUAUUGGUCAAUGGACGCAAGUCUGAACCAGCCAUGCCGCGUGCAGGAAGACGGCUCUAUGAGUUGUAAACUGCUUUUGUACGAGGGUAAACGCAGAUACGCGUAUCUGUCUGAAAGUAUCGUACGAAUAAGGAUCGGCUAACUCCGUGCCAGCAGCCGCGGUAAUACGGAGGAUUCAAGCGUUAUCCGGAGUUAUUGGGUUUAAAGGGUGCGUAGGCGGUCGGAUAAGUUAGAGGUGAAAUCCCGAGGCUCAACUUCGGAAUUGCCUCUGAUACUGUUCGGCUAGAGAGUAGUUGCGGUAGGCGGAAUGUAUGGUGUAGCGGUGAAAUGCUUAGAGAUCAUACAGAACACCGUUUGCGAAGGCAGCUUACCAAGCUACUUCUGACGUUGAGGCGCGAAAGCGUGGGGAGCAAACAGGAUUAGAUACCCUAGUAGUC
rnacentral:rRNA from 1 species